CGCCUUGCCAGCCCGCUCAGAACUUAAAGGAAUUGACGGGGCCCGCACAAGCGGUGGAGUAUGUGGUUUAAUCGAUGCAACGCGAAGAACCUUACCUGGUCUUGACAUCCCGGAGACCCUUAGGAAACUAGGGGGUGCUUCCAUCUGGAAGAAUCUGGAGACAGGUGCUGCAUGGCUGUCGUCAGCUCGUGUCGUGAGAUGUUGGGUUAAGUCCCGCAACGAGCGCAACCCUUGCCUUUAGUUGCCAGCAGUUCGGCUGGGCACUCUAAAGGGACUGCCGGUGUUAAACCGGAGGAAGGUGGGGAUGACGUCAAGUCCUCAUGGCCUUUAUGACCAGGGCUACACACGUACUACAAUGGCCGAUACAAAGGGCAGCGACACUGCGAGGUGAAGCCAAUCCCGUAAAAUCGGUCUCAGUCCGGAUUGGAGUCUGCAACUCGACUCCAUGAAGUUGGAAUCGCUAGUAAUCGUGGAUCAGCAUGCCACGGUGAAUACGUUCCCGGGCCUU
rnacentral:rRNA from 1 species